UGCCAGCCGCCGCGGUAACACGGGGGGCGCAAGCGUUAUUCGGAAUUAUUGGGCGUAAAGGGCGCGCAGGCGGUCUUGUCCGUCAGGUGUGAAAGCUCGGGGCUCAACCCCGGAAGUGCACUUGAAACUGGCGAACUUGAGUACGGGAGAGGAAAGUGGAAUUCCGAGUGUAGAGGUGAAAUUCGUAGAUAUUCGGAGGAACACCAGUGGCGAAGGCGGCUCACUGGCUCGAUACUGACGCUGAGGUGCGAAAGUGUGGGGAGCAAACAGGAUUAGAUA
rnacentral:rRNA from 1 species